GUCCACGCCUUAAACGAUGAGAGCUAGUUGUCAGUAAGCAUGCUUAUUGGUGACGCAGCUAACGCAUUAAGCUCUCCGCCUGGGGAGUACGGCCGCAAGGUUAAAACUCAAAGAAAUUGACGGGGGCCCCGCACAAGCGGUGGAGCAUGUGGUUUAAUUAGAAGCAACGCGAAGAACCUUACCCACUUUUGACAUCCUGUGUUACCUGGAGACAUCCAGGGUCCCUUCGGGGCGCAGAGACAGGUGCUGCAUGGCUGUCGU
rnacentral:rRNA from 1 species